rnacentral:rRNA from 1 species
GCAAGUCGAGCGGUAGAAUUUCUAGCUUGCUAGAAAUUUGAGAGCGGCGAACGGGUGAGUAACACGUUGGUAUCUGCCCCCAAGUCAGGGAUAGCCAUUGGAAACGAUGAUUAAUACCGGAUAGUCUCUUCGGAGUAAAAUUAUUUGCUUGGGGAGGAACCUGCGGUCUAUCAGCUUGUUGGUGAGGUAAUAGCUCACCAAGGCUAUGACGGAUACCUGGUCUGAGAGGAUGAUC